GCACGGGUGAGUAACGCGUACACAACCUACCCUUAAGAGGGGGAUAGCCCAGAGAAAUUUGGAUUAAUACCCCAUAACAUUCUAAAACUGCAUAGUUUAAGGAUUAAAGUUAAGGCGCUUAAGGAUGGGUGUGCGUCCCAUUAGUUAGUUGGUAGGGUAACGGCCUACCAAGACCGCGAUGGGUAAGGGGCGUGAGAGCGUGACCCCUCACACGGGUACUGAGACACGGACCCGACUCCUACGGGAGGCAGCAGUAAGGAAUAUUGGACAAUGGGCGCAAGCCUGAUCCAGCCAUCCCGCGUGCAGGAUGAAUGCCCUAUGGGUUGUAAACUGCUUUUAUCAGGGAAGAAAUCCCCCGACGUGUUGGGGGUUGACGGUACCUGAAGAAUAAGCACCGGCUAACUCCGUGCCAGCAGCCGCGGUAAUACGGAGGGUGCAAGCGUUAUCCGGAAUCACUGGGUUUAAAGGGUGCGUAGGCGGCUUAAUAAGUCAGAGGUGAAAGGCCACAGCUUAACUGUGGAACUGCCUUUGAUACUGUUAAGCUAGAAUCAAGUUGAAGUUAGUGGAAUGUGGCAUGUAACGGUGAAAUGCAUAGAUAUGCCAUAGAACACCGAUUGCGAAUGCAGCUAACUGGGCUUGUAAUUGAACGCUGAGGCACGAAAGCGUGAGGAGCGAGAAGGAUCGAUCCCCUGAAGUCCACGCCCUAACGA
rnacentral:rRNA from 1 species